rnacentral:rRNA from 1 species
CAUGCAAGUCGAACGAAAAGAGGGAAAGAGCUUGCUCUUUCCGGAAUUGAGUGGCAAACGGGUGAGUAACACGUAAACAACCUGCCUUCAGGAUGGGGACAACAGACGGAAACGACUGCUAAUACCGAAUAAGUUCCAAGAGCCGCAUGGCCCAUGGAAGAAAAGGUGGCCUCUACCUGUAAGCUAUCGCCUGAAGAGGGGUUUGCGUCUGAUUAGCUGGUUGGAGGGGUAACGGCCCACCAAGGCGACGAUCAGUAGCCGGUCUGAGAGGAUGAACGGCCACACUGGAACUGAGACACGGUCCAGACUCCUACGGGAGGCAGCAGUGGGGAAUCUUCCGCAAUGGGCGAAAGCCUGACGGAGCAACGCCGCGUGAGUGAUGACGGCCUUCGGGUUGUAAAACUCUGUGAUCCGGGACGAAAAGGCAGAGUGCGAAGAACAAACUGCAUUGACGGUACCGGAAAAGCAAGCCACGGCUAACUACGUGCCAGCAGCCGCGGUAAUACGUAGGUGGCAAGCGUUGUCCGGAAUUAUUGGGCGUAAAGCGCGCGCAGGCGGCUUCCCAAGUCCCUCUUAAAAGUGCGGGGCUUAACCCCGUGAUGGGAAGGAAACUGGGAAGCUGGAGUAUCGGAGAGGAAAGUGGAAUUCCUAGUGUAGCGGUGAAAUGCGUAGAGAUUAGGAAGAACACCGGUGGCGAAGGCGACUUUCUGGACGAAAACUGACGCUGAGGCGCGAAAGCGUGGGGAGCAAACAGGAUUAGAUACCCUGGUAGUCCACGCCGUAAACGAUGGAUACUAGGUGUAGGAGGUAUCGACCCCUUCUGUGCCGGAGUUAACGCAAUAAGUAUCCCGCCUGGGAAGUACGAUCGCAAGAUUAAAACUCAAAGG